CCCGAAAUAAUUAAAACUCUGUUC
rnacentral:miRNA from 1 species